AUGAACGCUGGCGGCGUGCUUCACCCAUGCAAGUCGAACGAAGCACUUUAUUUGAUUUCCUUCGGGACUGAUUAUUUUGUGACUGAGUGGCGGACGGGUGAGUAACGCGUGGGUAACCUGCCUUGUACAGGGGGAUAACAGUUGGAAACGGCUGCUAAUACCGCAUAAGCGCACAGCAUCGCAUGAUGCAGUGUGAAAAACUCCGGUGGUAUAAGAUGGACCCGCGUUGGAUUAGCUAGUUGGUGAGGUAACGGCCCACCAAGGCGACGAUCCAUAGCCGACCUGAGAGGGUGACCGGCCACAUUGGGACUGAGACACGGCCCAAACUCCUACGGGAGGCAGCAGUGGGGAAUAUUGCACAAUGGGCGAAAGCCUGAUGCAGCGACGCCGCGUGAGCGAAGAAGUAUUUCGGUAUGUAAAGCUCUAUCAGCAGGGAAGAUAAUGACGGUACCUGACUAAGAAGCACCGGCUAAAUACGUG
rnacentral:rRNA from 1 species